rnacentral:rRNA from 1 species
GACGAACGCUGGCGGCGUGCCUAAUACAUGCAAGUAGGACGCAGUUGCGAACGGGUGAGUAACGCGUAGGUACCUACCUAUUAGAGGGGGAUAACUAUGGGAAACGAUAGCUAAUACCGCAUACUCGUCGAUGGACCUGCUUUGUAUUAGCUAGUAGGUAGGGUAAUGGCCUCACUAGGCAAAGAUACAUAGCAGACCUGAUAGGGUGAGUGGCCAAAGUGGGACUUGUAAACGUCCCAGACUGCUACUGGAGGGAGCAGGAGGGAAUCUUCGGAAAGGGGGGGAACCCUGAACGAGCAACGCAGCGUGAGUGAAUAAGGUUUUCGGAUCGUAAAGCUCGGUUGUUAAGGAAGCGGUACUUAACCAGAAAGGGACGGCUAACUACGUGCCAGCCGCCGCGGUAAUAC